GCGCCAAAGUGGACAAAAAAUAAAUCGAUAUACCUAUAGAAAGGUGGUGUGGCGAUGCGCGAAGCGCAUCGCCUCAUUAAUGCAUUGAUUUCGUGAUCGAUUUUUUGAUCGAUUUUGCAUUUACAGUGAUGGAUUUUCUAGGACUUCUUGUCAUCACGUGAUGUCAGCCCGCCUAUAGUAUGUAGGCGUGUCAGCUUUAGAGACAAGAUGGAUGAAGUUAAUAAGCAAGUUAAUCCAGUUUAAAGAGGUUUUACGUUAUGUAGGAGAUCUGAAAUACUCAUGUUGAGGUUAUUCAUGCCGUUGCACUACACACCAAUGUUGAGACAGUCAAACUGAGAUAUUCUUGAGUGUGUUAGCUCCAUACAUGUGACUGUUGUUGGUGGAGUAUAGAAACCAAGCUCUGCUUCGUUCCCAGUAAGAAAUGUGUGUAUUAUUACAAUUUCUGGUCAUAGUUCCUCAUAUCGUGUUAUUAUUUAGUUAUAGGAGGGGAAAGAAAUAAAGUAAAAAGAGAAUGACAUCAGUAGCCCUCCAGGAAUGGCCCAGAGAGACCCGCUAAAGGAAAGGACUGGUGUCAGUAUACAAAUAUUGGUGACUCUUUUAAGAUUAAAAAUGAUGUUUCGAUGCCUGAUACAGGAUUGUGGACUGACAUUAAAUUAUCCUAAAUCAUUAUGAUUAUGAUGCAAUUAAUAAUUAUUGAUAUCUUUUUAAACAGUGUUGAUGAAGUGGAAA